GCCCCGCCUCCAACUCGUUCGAGCAGGGUUGGGCUAUACGGGCGCGCUCUCGGGGACAGGGGGGGCAGUCCCGGUCCCGGCCCUCCGCGCGGGUGGGCUUGGAGCAGGCCGCACCGGGCGGGAACCCCACUCCCACCGCGGAGGCCCCCUGCCCUUUCUCCCCCUUUCCCCCCGGCCCAUGGUGCGAGGCUGGGAGCCGCCGCCCGGGCCGGACCGCGCUAUCUCUGAAGGGCACAAAUCAGAAAGCACCAUGCCUCCUAAUAAAGAGGCCAGCAGUCUUAAUAGCUCCCCAGCGGGGCUCAUCUGCCUGCCUCCAAUCUCCGAGGAGCUACAGCUUGUGUGGACCCAAGCAGCCCAGACCAGUGAGCUGGAUGGCAAUGAACACUUGCUACAAACCUUCAGCUACUUUCCCUAUCCCAGUCUAGCAGACAUUGCCCUUCUCUGCUUACGCUAUGGGCUGCAGAUGGAGAAAGUCAAGACUUGGUUCAUGGCCCAGCGCCUCCGCUGUGGCAUUAGCUGGUCAUCUGAAGAAAUAGAAGAGACUCGAGCCCGAGUGGUCUACCAUCGGGACCAGCUCCAUUUCAAAUCCCUUCUCUCUUUUACUCAUCAUGCAGGGCGGCCUCCAGAGGAGGUGCCUCCUCCACUGCCACCUCCAGAACAAGUGGGUCUUGGAAUAGUACCCCUGACUCUUAGUGAGCCCACCCAAAUGAAAGGAUUGAAGGUAGAACCUGAGGAGUCCUCAGAGCUGCUGAGUCACCAGAAAGCAAAGGAACCCCUGAUGGCACCUGGCAGUGGGGCAUUCCCCCACCAAUCAGAUUUUUGGCAGGAUCUUCAAAGCAGUGGCUUCUCUAAGGAGCAGGCAGGGAGGGGUCCCCACCAGUCACAUGGCCUAGGUUCUGCUUCCUGGAACCACUCCACAGCUGUCCACCAGCCACAUGCUCGGGAUAAGCCCCCACCAAUCUCACUACUUGCUAGUAGUUGUAAGCAGGAGUCAACAUCUAAUAUGACUCCUUCUCCCUCUACCUCUUCUUCCACUUUCCCGGUACUGGCUAAUGGAGCUACUGCCACCUCUAAACCCCUCCAGUCACUAGGCUGUAUCUCACAGCCACUGUCACCCAGUGAACAGGCACUGCCCCCACAUCUGGAGCCAGCUUGGCCCCAGGGGCUAAGACAUAACUCAGUACCAGGUAGGGUUGGCCCUGCAGAGUACCUUUCCCCAGAUAUGCAACGCCAGCGAAAGACCAAGCGCAAAACCAAAGAGCAGCUGGCUAUCCUCAAAUCUUUUUUUUUACAGUGCCAAUGGGCACGGCGUGAGGAUUACCAUAAAUUAGAACAGAUCACUGGUUUACCUCGACCUGAGAUCAUUCAGUGGUUUGGUGACACACGCUAUGCCUUGAAGCAUGGGCAACUAAAAUGGUUUCGGGACAAUGCGGUACCUGGUGCCUCUAGUUUCCAGGACCCAGCAAUUCCCACACCCCCACCUUCAACCCGCUCCUUGAAUGAAUGGGCUGAGACACCACCUCUGCCAAACCCCCCACCCCCACCGGAUAUACGACCCUUGGAGAGGUACUGGGCAGCCCAUCAACAGCUACGGGAAAGUGAUAUCCCUCAACUGAGUCAGGCAUCAAGGCUUAGCACCCAGCAGGUACUGGAUUGGUUUGACUCUCGAUUACCUGAGCCAGCUGAGGUGGUGGUUUGUCUAGAUGAAGAGGAGGAAGAGGAGGAGGAAGAACUGCCAGAAGAUGAUGAGGAUGAAGAGGAGGAGGAGGAAGAGGAUGAUGAUGAUGACGAUGUGAUCAUACAGGACUGAGUCGGGGGGGACUAGGGGAGGGAAGGUCUGUUACUAAAAGAUGAACCAACUUAGUAACUGUUUAAACAAAGAAACCACAUUUUUUUAAAUUACUUUGUGGCAAAGAACUGAAAAGCUUUGUGUUCUUGAGGUUGGGGGAUUGGGGAUGUAGUGAGGGUGGACCAGGGAGGAUGACCAUAGGAUCUAAAGAGAGGUGGGGAUUGGAUGAGCAGAAAUCAGUCCUCUCGUCUCAGUGAAGAGUGUGCUAAGGAUCUGGUCCAAACCAUGGGCUGGGAAAAGGCUUUUUUGCUCUCUUCAUGUCUGCUGUUCUUUUCCCUUAGUGUGCUAUGGAAAGCCCAGACCUUGGCCAUACAUCUAUAGGAGGACUGGAAAAGAAGAGUAAAGAAUUUUGAUUCAAUUGAUGAUUCCAGUGCAGACCCCAGUCCCACCAUUUUCCCUGGAAUGCAAGUUAGAUUAGCCUGGGCUCACCUGCUGAACUGGUAGCUGGAAACCAGGAAGACUCUCUAGUGGAGUUCUGCUUUCCCUCUGACCUGAAGGAUAGAAUUGGAAUGGUGAAAGCUCCGUGGUAGCCUUGAAAACCAACAUUCUGGCAUCAUCGUGGGGAUGGAAUGGGGUUGGAACUCUUUCAAAGCCUCAUUCCCAGAAAAUAAUCAUUUGACCUGUCCAGUGGCAACUGGAAGACUCCACUUGCAAGGCUGACUUUAUUUGAUCCGACCUGGAGCGCAAACUCAUCAGGACUUGGAGCUUAGAGUUCAUCACCUGUGAAAAGCCUUUUCCCCAGGAGUGUUUGUUGUAAACAAUUAGAAGCACUUGUUUGGGCUGCUUGAGAAUGUGAAUAUCAAUUGGGGCAAAUAAUAGGCUAAUGUGAAAGAGCUGGAAGAGAUGGGCAAUGAAUUGUUGGUGGGGACUCUGAAAACAAUACAUUCUUGGAGUCUAGAACAUAUGCAUAUGCAGGACUAUAUGCAUGCUCAGAAAAUACCUGAAAAGGCCCCAAUCUCUUACCUUGAGGUCAUACAAGCAGGUUGAAGGCUAAGAUUGGUUGCCUGGCUAAGUGCUGAAAGAGAACCCCAACACAUUUACAGAAACCCUCAGCAAAGACAGACUUACUGGUUCCAAGUGUUUAAGAGAAUCUCUGUCCAGUUGUUAGCUGACCACUAAACUAACUGAAUAGACACUUUGGUGGCUCCACAUGAUGAUACAGAUUUUAUAGAAUUAUUUUUUAAGUCACUAAACAAUAAACAGCAAGAACAACAACAACAAAAAACCAUGGGGAGGGGGAAGAAUCUGAUUCCAAGAAUUGCCAUGUUAUAUUAAUGUCCAAUUUCCAACAAAAAACGAG